GUGGUUCUGGCGAGUCGAGCAGGUGCUUCCGGAGUGCUUGGCAGGGGAUAUGUCGUCUCCGGCACGUGUUUCUGGCACAUUUGAGAGGUCCUUCUGGAAUGUAUGGCAAGUGGUUCUGGCGUAGCCACAGGUGAUUUUGGUGUGUCCGGCAGGUGGUUCCAGCAAGUCGAACAGGUGGUUCCAGUGAGCUCGGCAGGUGCUUCCACAGUCUCCAGCCCGUGGUUCUGGCCCGUCUGAGAGGUGGUUCCGGCAUGCCCGGCAGGUGACCCUGGACAGCCUGCCACGUGGUUCUGGCAUAGCUGGCAGGUGAUUUUGGCGUUUCCGGCAGGUGGGUCCUGGUAGUCAAGCAUGUGGUUCUGGCGUGCUCAGCAGGUGGUUCAGGUGUGUCCGGCAGGUGGUUCCAGUCUAUCCAGGACGUGGUUCUGGCGUGUCUGGCACAUGGUUUUGGUACGUCAGAGAUGUGGGUCCGGCAUGCCUGGCUGGUGAUCCCAGAGUGUCCGCCAAGUGGUUCUGGCAUAGCCGGCAGGUGAUUUUGGAGUGUCUGGCAGGUGGUUCUGGGGAGUGGAUCAGGUGGUUCCGGCGUGCUCGGCAGGUGCUUCUGGCGUGUCCAGCAGGUGGUUCAGGUGUGUCUGGAGGGUGGUUCCAGCGUGUCCGGCACGUGGUUCUGGUAUGUCUGUGAUGUGGUUUCGGCAUGCCCAUCAGUUGAUUCCGGAGUUUCCGCCACGUGGUUCUGGCACGUCUGAGAGGUGGUUCCGGCAUUCCUGGCAGGUGAUCCCAGAGAGUCCUCCAAGUGGUUCUGGCGUAGCCGGCAGAUGAUUUUGGUGUGUCCGGCAGAUGGUUCCGGCAAUUCGAGCAGGUGCAUCCGGCGAGCUCGGCAGGUGCUUCUGGCUUCUCCGGCACGUGGUUCUGGCACGUUUGAGAGGUGGUUCCGGCAUGCCCGGUAGGUGAUUCUGGAGUGUCUGGGAAAGUGGUUCUGGCAUAGAUGGCAGGUGAUUUUGGCGUGUCCGGCAGGUGGGUCCUGCGAGUUGAGCAGGUGGUUCCGUCUUGCUCGCCAGGUGGUUCAGGCGUGUCUGGCAGGUGAUUCUGUCCUUUCCGGUAGGUGGUUCUGCUGUGUCCGACAUGUGUUUCGGGCAGGUCUGAGAGGUGGUUCCGGCAUGCACUGCAGGUGAUUCCGGAUUGUCCACCAAGUGGUUCUGGUGCAGCCGGCAGGAGAUUUUGGCAUUUUCAGCAGGUGGGUCCUGCGAGUCGAGCAUGUGGUUCUGGCGUGCUCGCCAGGUGGUUCAGGCAUGUCCGGCAGGUGUUUCCAGUCUAUCCAGGACAUGGUUGUGGCGUGUCUGGCACAUGGUUCUGGUACGUCUGAGAUGUGGGUCUGGCAUGCCCAGCAGGUGAUUCCGGAGUGUCCGUCAAGUGGUUCUGGCAUAGCUGGCAGGUGAUUUUGGCGUGUCCGGCAGGUGGUUCUGGGGAGUGAAUCAGGUGGUUCCGGCAUGCUCGGCAUGUGCUUCUGGUGUCUCCGGUAUGUGGCUCUGGCUCGUCUGAGAGAUGGUUCUGGCAUGCCCAGCAGGUUAUCCCGGACUGUCCCCCACGUGGUUUGGGCGUAGCCUGCAGGUGAAUUUGGCGUGUCAAGCAGGUGGUUCCGGUGAGUCGAGCAGGUGGUUCCGGUGUGCUGGGCUGGUGGAUCAGGCAUGUCCUGCAGGUUGUUCCCGUUGGUCCGGGAUGUGGUUCCGGCGUGUCCGGCAGGUGGUUCCUGUCCGUCCGGGAGGUGGUUCUGGCAUGCAUGGCAGGUGAUUCCAGAGAGUCUGCCAAGUGGUUCUGGCGUAGCCGGCAGGUGAUUUUGGCUUGUCCAGCAGCUGGUUCUGGCGAGUCGAGCAGGUGGUUCCGGCGAGCUGGGCAGGUGCUUCCGGCGUCUCCGGCACAUGGUUCUGGCACGUUUGAGAGGUGGUUCUGGCAUGCCCAACAGGUGCUUCCAGAAUGUAUGGCAAGUGGUUCUGGCGUAGCCACAGGUGAUUUUGGCAUGUCCAGCAGGUGGUUCCAGCGAGUCAAACAGGUGGUUCCAGCGAGAUCGGCAGGUGCUUCUGGCACGUCUGAGAGGUGGUUCUGGCAUGCUCGGCAGGUGAUUCCAGAGUGUCCACCAAGUGGUUCUGGCGUAGCCGGCAGGUGAUUUUGGAGUAUCCGGCAUGUCAUUCCAGCGAGACGAGCAGGUGGUUCCAGCGUUCUCGGCAGGUGGUUCAGGCAUGUCCAACAUCUGGUUCCGGUCAGUCCAGGAGGUGGUUCCAGUGUGUACUGCACGUGUUUCUGGCACAUCCGAGAGGUGGUAGCGGCAUGCCCGGCAGGUGAUUCUGGAGUGUCUGACAACUGGUUCUGGCGUAGCUGGCUGGUGAUUUUGGCGUGUCCGGCAGGUGGUUCUGGGGAGUCAAGCAGGUGAUUCUGGCGUGCUCGGCAGGUGAUUCAGGUGGGUCUGGCAGGUUGUUCCCGUCUGUCCGGGAUGUGGUUCCAGCAUGUCAGGCACAUGGUUCUGGCACGUCUGAGAGGUGGUUCCAGCAUGCACGCCAGGUGAUCCCAAAGAGUCCAACAAGUGGUUGUGGUGUAGAAGGAAGGUGAUUUUGGCGUGUCCGGUAGGUGGUUCUGGCGAGUCGAGCAGGUGGUUCCAGCGUGCUCGGCAGGUGGUUCAGGCGGUCCGGCAGGUGGUUCCGGUCUGUCCGGGAGGUGGUCCUGGCAUGUCCGGCACGUGGUUCCAGCACGUCUGAGAGGUGGUUCCGGCAUGCCAGGCAGGAGAUUCAAGACAGUCCGCCAUGUGGUUCUGGCGUGACCGGCAUGUGAUUUGGGCGUGUCCGGCAGGUGCUUCCAGCGAGUCGAGCAGGUGGUUCAAGCUUGCUGAGCAGGUGCUUCCGGGGUCUUUUGCACGUGGUUCCGGCACAUCUGAGAGGUGGUUCCGGCAUGACCAGCAGGUGGUUCCGGUCUGUCCUGGAGGUGGUUCCGGCGUGUCCGACACGUGCUUCUGGCAUGUCAGAGAGGUUGUGCCGGCAUGCCCGGAACGUUAUUCCAGCUUGUACACCAAGUGGUUCUGGCGUAGAGGGCUGGUGAUUUUGGUGUGUCCUGCAGGUGGGUCUGCCGAGUCAAGCAGGUAGUUCCGACGAGUCUGGCAGGUGGUUCUGGUCUUUCCGGGAGUUGGGUCCGGCGUGUCCGUCAUGUGCUUCUGGCACGUCUUAGAGGUGGUUCUGGCAUGCACGGCAGGUGAUACUGGAUUGUCCAUUAAGUGGUUCUGGCAUAGCCGGCAGGUGAUUUUGGCGUGUCCGGCAGGUGGUUCUGGGGAGUGGAUCAGGUGGUUCAUGCAUGCUCGGCAGGUGCUUCCAGCAUCUCCGGCAUGUGCUUCUGGCACGUCUGAGAGGUGGUUCCAGCAUGCCCGCCAGGUAAUUCCGGAGUGACCAACAAGUGGUUAUGGCAUAGAGGGCUGGUGAUUUUGGCGUGUCUGGCAGGUGGUUCCGGCGAGUCGAGCAGGUGGUUCCAGCGGGCUCGGCAGGUGGUUCAGGCAUUUCGGGCAGUUGGUUCCAGUGGGUCCUGUAGGUGCUUUCAGUGUGUCCUGCACAUGGUUCUGGCACUUCUGAGAGGUGGUUCCGGCAUGCCCGGCAGGUGAUCCCGGACUGUCCCCAACGUGGUUCUGGCAUAGCUGGCAGGUGAUUUUGAUGUGUCCAGCACGUGGUUCCGGUGAGUCGAGCAGGUGGUUCCGGCGUGCUGGGCUGGUGCUUCAGGUGUGUCCGGCAGGUUGUUCCGGUCUCUCUGGUAGGUGGCUGUGGUGUGCUCAGCAGGUGCUUCCGGCAUCCCCGGCGCGUACUCCUAGCACGUCUGAGAGGUGGUUCCGGCAUGCCCGGCGGGUGAUUCCACACUGUCCGGCAAGUGGUUCUGGUGUAGCCAGCAGGUGAUUUUCGUGUGUCCGCGAGGUGGUUCCAGCGAGUCGAGGAGGUGGUUCCGGCGUGCUCAGCAGGUGGUUCAGGUGGGUCCGGCUGGUGGUUCAGGUCUGUCUGGGAGGUGGUUCCGGCGUGUCCAGCACAUGGUUCUGGUACGUCUUAGAGGUGGUUCCGGCAUGCCCGACAGGUGAUUCCGGAGUUU
ensembl:lncRNA